GCCUCAGUGGUGUAGUGGAAUGCACGCUGGACCGGCAAUCCGGAGGGCCUGGGUUCGAUUCCCAGGCUGGGCACA